rnacentral:sRNA from 1 species
UAGUAAUUUCAGUAUUUUUAAUAGCUAUACAUUUUUAAGUAAACUAUUUGUUUUUUUUUCUAUUUCAAAUGCUGAGCAUACAUAACUAAACUGGAAGAACAGAUGAAGUCCAAAACGAUAAAGUAACAGACAACCCAGAUCAAGAUAAAGUAAGCUACAUCCUGUUGGUCAGACCAAGAUAAAGUACAUCCUGCUGAUUCACAGACCAAGAUAAAGUUCCUCCUGCUGAUGCACAGACCAAGAUAGAAAACAUCCUGCUGAUUCACAGACCAAGAUAAAGUUCCUCCUGCUGAUUUACAGACACUUGUAUGGGCUGCUACUUGUGAUUAAGAACUGACUUCAAAUGAUAACAAGAGGAUGAUUUAAGCAUACAUAACUAAACUGGAAGAACA